GCCAUUUGACCAGUUUGUGAGGCAUGCGUGUCUAUCACUCUCUACUAAAAAUAAUUUAAAAUUAAAAAAAUACCACCCAUCGGGUAUGACCGUUUUUUCACUAAAAUAUUUCCCCCAAUCUUCCAAUAUCUGUCAUAAUCAAUGCUUAGGGUAAAAUUUACCCCUUUCCCUCCAAAAAUAAGAACCCUAACAGUGCUAUUGUCUUCUUCCCUUGCAAAAUUGAAGUGAAAAACGAGUUUUAAAUGAACAAGUGAAGUGUGACAGGUAGAAACGUAAGCAUUAAAGGAGAACAAUCAAGCGAUGGAAAUUGUUAAACGAAAGAGGUGUGUAAGGCUAGUCCCUUCAUUCUAAGGCAUGAUUCUUAUGGUAUGAAUCCUCCUAUCUUUCCACGAUUUUCCUACAUAUCGGGAAUUAUGAAUCUACGAGUAUAAAUGGCUUCAUACGAGAUAAAGAAAAGAGAUACGCUACGAGCAUGACAAUACCGAUAAUGAAUCUAAGUUUAGAAAUCCUAAAGCUCAUGAUACGACAUUCCUACGAAGCUAAUGAUCCUUAUAUGAUUCCUAUGAUAUUAUUUCCCUACCUCUCCAUGACUUUCUUACAUUCCGGGAACUAUGAGACAAUAUUGACAAAGAGCUUCUUAUGAGAUAAAGAUGAUAAAUAUGUCAUGAAUACGAAAAUAAUGAUGGUAAGUUUAAGCCUAGAGAUUCUAAAGCUAGAUAUGAUGUCUAUGAAGUUAAAGAUCCUAUUUACGAUCCCUUGAUGUUGUUCAUGGUUUACACUCACCUUAAAAUGUUAGUUCCUUCAAGGUGAGAUAUGAUGAAUAUGAUUACUCCAUAAUGGAAUCGGGGGCUCUCGACCUUAUGUCACCCCGACAUUGUUAUAGAUUGUCUAUAAGCUCUAAUGCAUGUCCUAUGACCAAUGUUCCGAAAAGUUAUGAGUCUUAUGUUCAUAGGGGGUUCCAUAUGAGAUAAAGGUAAGAGAUAUUCCAUAGAUACGAUGAUGGUAAUGAUGAGCCUAAGUUAGAUAUUAUAAAGUCUAUCAUGCGAUAUUUUUACGAAGUUCAUGCUACGAAUAUGAUACGAUUUUCAUAGAUUGUCUUUAAAUUCAAAUGCAUGCUCUAUGAAUAGUUAUGAUAAGUUUAUGAGAUAUAUGUGAUGAUAACGAUGACGAUGUUGAUAGUGAUGAUGAUAAUGAUGACUGUUGAUAGUGAUGAUGAUAAUGAUGAUGAUGAUAAUAGUGAUGACGCUAAAGAUAUUUAUGGGCUUUUAUGUAUAUAUGCCUAUGUAUGGCUAUUAUGAAACCUCGAGCUUAUAUGGCUGGGUAGAAUAUAUAUAUAUAUAUAUAUAUAUAUAUAUAUAUAUAUAUAUAUAUAUAUAUAUAUAUAUAUAUAUAUAUGAUGCGCGCGCACCACUGCAGUUGGGUACGGAUACCACUGAGCCUUGGUAGGGCCGGGUACGAAUAUCACUGAGCCUUGGUAGGGCCAGGCACGUAUAACACCAGGCAUUAUUAUAGCUGGGUACGUAAGACACCGAACCUAUAUAGUCGUGUACGAUACUACUAUGUUUUUAAAUGUAUGAAAAGCCCGGGAGACAUGUAUGUGAUAUUGUCGAGCCACUACGUGGCAGAAUACGGAUAAUGUUUAAUGUGUAUGAGAAGAUACGGUAUUACGAUAUAUGUAUGAUACGAUGAUGUAUGCGCUAUGAUGAUACAUGUACUGUGAUUAUAUAUGAUAUAGGCAUGAAAGUUAUCCACCCUUAAAAGUUACGCAGGUUAUGUCUUCAUCUUAUGUCUUAUGAUUUCUCUAUUAUGUUCAUUUCAUUCAAGCCUUACAUACUCAGUACAAUAUUCGUACUGACGUCCGUUUUCUUUGGACGAUGUGUUCAUGCCCACAGGUAGAUAGGGAGGCGACCCAGAUUUAUAGAAGCUGAUAAGCAGACUUUUGAGAGCACUCCAUUAUUCCGGAGGUGCCAUUGAUUUACUGUUUAGUGUGCAUAUAUGUUUUGGGCACGACGGGGCCCUGUCCCGUCCAUAUGUCUAGUAUUCUAGUAGAGGCUCGUAGAUACGUAUGUGUGGGUAGCAUGGUCUCACGAUGUUAUUGUUGUAUGUAUAUUAUUUAGAUAGCCGAAGGGCUUAUGUGUAUAAAAGUAUUCAUGUUUCCAAAUGAAAAAUGGUUUUCCUAUGAUUUGAGCAUUAGAUUAAUGAAUGAACGCUUGAUGUGUACGUUGGGUAACGGUAUGAGCGGUGCUCGGUGGUUAGCCCCGGGUACCCAUCAUGGCCCCUAAUCGGGUCGUGACACAAACAAUCCUAACCAUACUGUUGAGUUUCAAAACACUUGUGAGGUUGAAGUAGAUAAGGACACAAGUGUAAAUGAUGCAGAUGUUUAAUCUGAUGAUGAUAACAUAGAGGAUUUAGGGGAUUUAGAUGACAGUGAUGUUCAUGAAGAGGGUAGAGAGUUUAGGUCAAAUAGAAGACAUUUUAAUAGGGCACAUAGGAGACCCAGAGCUACUAAUCCUAACCAAAUUCCUAUAAAACCAAAGGGGCCAGAUAUGGGGGUAUGAUGAGACUAAUAUUGGGAGCAAGAAUAACGUAGAUGGUAUGCUAGGUGGUGAUGAACCUUAUUACGAUAGUGAUGAAGCUCCUAACUUUGAUUUAGAUGAUGAAACAAGAUGGGGUGAUGAGGAAAAGGUUGAACAAGUUGUGAAGAAACCUCUAAGAAGAAAAGUGACAAAAAAUAGAGUUGUUUUUGACAAAAGUUGUAAGAAGGUUGUUUGGGAAACUGGUUUGGUGUUUGCUAAUGUAGAAGAUUUUAUGAUGACAGUUACUCAAUAUGCAAUUCAAGAAAGAAGUCAAAUUGAAAAGUUUAUUAAUAAGCCUGUAAAAGUUAGGGUGAGAUGUUGCAAAGAGGGUUGUCCUUGGUUAUUGUAUGCUAGCUUGGAUAGUGCCACAAAUGAUUUUGUGGUUAAAAAUUACAAACCUAUUCAUGAUUGUUAUACUUCAACACAGAACCAUUUGUGCAAUUCUAAGUUUCUGAAAACUAGAUACAAGGAAAGAAUCAAUAGGCAAAAAAAUAUGAGAAUGGUAGAUUUUCAAGAGCUCAUUAAGAAGGAGCUAGAUUUUUAUGUCGGAAAGACAACAGUGAGAAGGCUUAGGGACAAAAUUUUGCAAGAGAUUAGGGGUGAUCAUGUUGUUGAGUAUGGCAGAAUAUUUGUUUAUCGAGAUGAGAUUUUAAAAUCCAAUCCAGGUACUACUUGUGUUGUUAAUGUUGGAGAUAAUACAAAAACUGGAUAUAAGAUCUUUGAAGGGUUUUAUGUUUGCUUUGAUGCCUUAAAGAAAUCAUUCUUUAGAGGUAUUAGAAAGUGUAUUGGUUUAGAUGGAUGUUUUUAAAAUGAGUGUGCAAAGGUCAGCUAUUGGUGGCAGUUUGCAAGGAUGAAAACAACCAAAUGCUGCCUAUAGCUUGGGCAGUUGUUGAAUAUGAGAAUAAAUUCACUUGGAAAUGGUUUUCGGAAUUGUUGAAGCUGUACCUUAAUCUUCGAGAUGGACAUGAACUCACAUUGACUAGUGACAUGCAAAAGAUAGGGACUGAAAAAUGUUGUUGAGGAGUUACUCCCAGAUGUUGAACACAGGUGGUGUGCAAGACACAUCCUUGCUAACUGGAACAAAGAUUACAAGGGGAUAGAAAGAAGGGAUCUGUUUUGGAAGCUUGCAAAGUCCACUUUUAAAGCUGAAGUUAAGGUGCAUAUUGAAGCUAUGAAGAUGCUUGGAGAGGAUGGUUUGCAUGCUCUCAUGUACUACAACAUUGAUAGAUGGUGCAAAAGGUUCUUCAAAGAGAACAGCAAGGUAGAUUCAGUUGACAAUAACAUGGCUGAAAGUUUUAAAACAAUUGGAUAUCGGUUGCAAAAUUCAAAAUAAUUAUCACAAUGUUGGAAGAGAUUAGAUUAAAAAUGAUGAGAAGAAUCGGUGAAUUAAGACAGUUUUCAAACACUUGGAUCACUGAUAUUUCUCCCAUGGCUUUCAAGAUUUUACAAGAAAACAUUGACAAGUCAAUGAAGUGUUCCUUGUCUUGGAAUGGUGAAAGGGAUUUUUAAAUUAGAGAUCCAUGGGGCUGUACACAUACUUUUGACAUCCAGAGGCAGACUUGUAGUUGUAGAUCUUGGCAGCCUAGAGGCAUACGUUGUGCUCAUGCAGUUGCUGCAAUACAUCACAAGAGAUUACAUCCAAUUCAUUUUGUGGCAAGCUGCUACAACAAGGAAACCUAUCUGAGAACAUAUGCUCAUUUUAUUCAGCCAAUGAACAAUAUGAAGAUGUGGCCAACUUCUAAUAAUCCAAGAGUAGAGCCACUAGUAACCAGACAGCUUCCUGGAAGGCCACCAAAAUCAAGAAGGAAGGAGGUCUAUGAAAGUAGAAAAACAAGACUGAUCAGCAGGAGGGGUGCUAUUAUGACUUGUAGUACUUGUCAGGCAAAAGGAUACAAUAAAAGAGGAUGUCCAACAGUUCCAAGGCAAACCACAGAAACAGCAGAUCAAACAGUAGAGGAAGCACAGGCUAGAACAAACAGAGGAAGGGCAAACAAAAGGAGGAUAGAACAGGAAGCUGCAAGUUGUGGAAGGGUAAAUGCAAGUUCAAAUGCUAGUGGUGGUGCAACAUAUCAAAGUCAAGAAACUCAAGGAACAACUAGUGGACAUGCUGCACAACCUUAUAAAAGGCCAAGAAUUGUGGGGGUUGGAAGAUUGGUGGCUGAUGAUGGAUUUACUACUCAAUCCUAGAAUGCCAAGUAGAAGAGCUCCAAUAAGGUCUGAUGUUGUUACUGGAGAUAUUGGCUACACACCGAAACCAUGAUUCAAGUGGAGGGGCAAACAAGCCAUGACAAGUAAUACACUUGACAAAAUUAGGGGUGAAAGAAUCAUCAAGGGAAGGUCAAAAGCUGCUGCCAUGAAUCAAAGCCAAUGUAGUACAUCUAAAAAACCAUGGAAAUAGUUGGUUUAGUUGUUUUACUACUGUUUUUGUUGGGUUGCUAUUAGUAAAAAACCAUGGAAAUAGUUGGUUUAGUUAUUCAUAUUUUUGGCUAUGUAUUCAGUGGCAAAACCCUUACUUGUAGCAUUUUAUGCAACUGUUUUUUGGCUACUGUGCUGUUUUUGUACAUUUAUUGUGCUGUUUUUGUGCAACAAUUAAUGCAGGUAAUGAUAUUCAGCUUAAUUGUGUUGUUUAA